GAGAAAAAUGCAAUCAAAAGAGCAUACGAGACACGUAAUUAAAUCUGUAUCGUUGUAAAACGUUUCGUUGGAAGAUGGUAAAUUAACGAUUUGCCGCAUAAUAAAACAAAGCAUCCGGCUUAAUUUCGCUUUUGUCCUCGAUUUCUCUGCUUCACGUGCAUCACCCUAGACUGUUGAAAAUAUCGGGUAUAAAAAGCAUUCGUAGCUAGCACGUUGCAAUUACGCCGCGAUUCCAUUCAGUGUGCGAGAGAUCGUAGUCGAAGAUAGUAUGGUGUUCGAUUGAAAUUACGCACGGAUGGGGGCGUUUAAAGCUUACGACCAUUUUUACACUGUAAGUGUCGGAAUUUAUAGCGGCGGGCCAUUACACUGGCUUAUCCACUAGCAAUUAUGGGAGCAAUUAACGAACGAAAUUUUGCCCAUUUAUUUAAAUUAACCUUACCAUCGGUUGAUAAUUUAAUCCGCGCAAAAACUUUAUUGUCACUCCGCGAGCCAAGGGGUGAGGAGGGGGGACAAAAAAGACGCGUAAACGCGUUGUUAUUUCAUUUCUCUCCGAUUGAAAUGAUUAAAAACGGGGGAAAUAAUUACGAAGGGAUACAAAAUAUCAAUUCGAAAAUGGAGGGGAAGAAAAUUAACGAGAGCAUCGUUCUAACUUAAUAUUCCUAAUGGAGUUCGAAAAUUAACGAAAUAUCAUGGAUGGAUCGAUCAAAGCGGCGUAUGUAUUUAUUUCCUUUUUCUUUUUUUCUUUUUUUAUAUUAAUACGAGAUUAUUUCGUAUCUUUCGCGUUUAAAUUUCACCGGAAACCGGCGUCGCACCGAUUUACAUCUGUAAAUUUCAAACAGAAUUUUGAUUGGAAAUGAAAGUGUUUACUUGCUUUGGUUAUAUAUUCUUGGCGAGAUAAAAUAAUUUUAUUAGCUUUUAGUAGUUUAUAUAUUGCUUUAAUAAAUAGCCCGAUAAAUUGUCGCGAUAAAAUAUCAGCUUGGACACACCAUCCAGUUAAUUGUGCAAAUUAUCAUUCCUUUCAUUUAUUAUUCAAACUUUUGCAUUUUACAAAAUAAAAAUAAUUUCACGUUUCACUCGUUCAGAAAUUCAUUUCUUUUUAUUAUUCGCUUCUCUAACACGAAAUUAACACUCCUUUCGGAGGAACUGCUAAUCCUCCAUCCCGGUGAUUCGGUCAGAAUCGCAAAGAAAUCUCUUGUCGCGAUUCAAAUUAAUUUUCCAAGAUUAAAGCUGCCGGUAUCCCGCGUGGUGCGCGCCUCGUAAACAAGAUGGUGCACGCGGGAACUCGACUCGAGCGCGCGCGCGCGCACGCGCAAGAAAAUCCAACGGCGUUGUAACAGUGCGCCGCAAGUUGACCUCGUCCCAAGUUUGCCUCGAGACCGAGAUAAUUGUCGGUGAGUAACGUCAGCCUCGCCUAAGUAAGAUUUAACUCGGCGCAACACGGUAUGAUUCGGUUAUAACUCGAUAUUAACUGUAACGAAGCACGUCUUGCCUCACUCCAACACUGGGGCUUAAGCGCCAUCGUGUUAACGAACAACCUAUGCGCGUCUGUAUCGAGCCAUGCUCGACCCGCUAACUGACCUACACGCGUACGCUUCUGUAUAUACUGUAUAUAGGGUGGUCCAUAAUACCUAUAGUUUAAAAGAAUUGAAUCUGAUUUAAUUGAAAUAAGUAAAACAGUUUUCAAGAGUUAUGGAUUCUUGAAGAAACAUCUGUCUUAGAAUCUAUCUUGAAUGGUUGUUAUCGUUCAACGUUAAAAUUCAUUUUGUAAAAAUUCUUUUCUUAGGUUAAUUAAUUAAGGAGCAAUGGAACGGUACAAAAGUGACAAUUACCAGUAGAUAAAAUAAGGAAAACAAAGUAUGAUAACAGGCAAAGAAUAGGGCAAUUAUCAUCAGGAUAAUGAUAAAGAGGAUAAAAAGAAGAGAUAAAUGAAACCAAUCAAAUACAAAAUUCAUCUUUUCAAGCGUGCAUUUAUGAAUCGUCCUGUACACCGCACACAAGAGGCGCAUACAUAGAGGCACAGCUUGAUUCAAACACUUAUACACGAACACGUGUCAGGAUGGACGAUAUAGACAACAAACGGGGGAGGGAGCAGAGAGAGAGAGAGAGAGAGAGUAACAGUUACGGCAUACGGUAACGCGCCAGUAUUGACAAACAUCUUCAUUAGCUGCCGCUGCUGCUUGUGCGCUAUCUGCCUACAAACGACCUAUAUAUACGCCCUUGCCGCUACUCCACCUGCGUCGUUGGCCGCAUACCACCAAUACCUUCAGACACGCUACCGAUUCCGAGCCAAGAUUGCCGUUUGAUUCGAAUUAAAACGACACGUUCAGGUGAUGGCCACGUAUGCGUUCAUUGUCUCAAUGUUUGGAUACGGUUCUCUGUUGUCGUGGGAAAAGUUCGACCCGUGUUUGGAUUCGAGAGAUGAGUUACGGCCGAAAUUUCUGCAUUUGUGAUGGUGUACGGUGAUUACUUGGCCGUAGAGUUUCCUAAAUACUUGUCAUUCACGCUUAAUGCUUAGGAGGGCGCUCGCGUCGGACAUGUUUAGUGGAAAGUUCCUAGAGAAUCUGGGGAUAUGCAUUGUUGGUAUGGGAUUGAAUUGUUAAGUUAUCGCUUUUCCACGGUUCAGAGAAGAACUAGACAUUUAAUAUGAAGUAUUGAAAUAUAAUUUAAAUUAUUAAUUUACCAUGAGAUGUAUGGUUAUAUAAUAUUUAUAAUUAUAGUCGCAAGAAAAGGAUAUUGGAAAGUUUUAUUAAUAGAUUAAUAAUUUUCAAAAGUAACGAGAUUGUAGAAGUAAAAUUUUUCAGAAAAAAGAAAAUAUUCAAAAGGAAACGCGGUUGUGAAAACAAUACGUAUUAUUUUAUUCAAAGAACAAUAAAUUUGCUUUAACGACGGGUUGACAAGAACAAUAAAGAGUCGCAAAUAUUCGAUAGCUUGAAAUACGUAGAAAAUACGUCCCGAAUAAUUAUUAACGAAAAGAAGAUAUUCAAAUCCAUUCGUGUUAUUAAAUUUUCCAUUAUCGAAACAACUUCCAUUCAAAAAUUUUCCAUGCACGUCGAUAAUUUCGUUCGAACAUCUCGAAUAAUGAUUCAUCUGACAAACUUGUCCCCUGUAAAAUUUAUCCAGCUAUUCGAAGAUAAAGUGGAAAUAGUGUACUAGAAUCCAUAGAUUUUCCCCCGAGCAAAAAAAAAAAAAAAAAAAACGAUACAAGAAUGAGCUCGAUUGCAAUUCGGCGUAGUUUACGAACGCAGAUUAAAUGGACGAAUCGUUCGCAUCCAAAAAAGAGAGAGAGAGAGAAAGAGGAUUAGUGCACGCGGCCAAGUAAUGAGCGAAAAGCCAUAGUAUUUAACGAGCUCUUAAUUCGUGGACUUUGCAACUCUGAAUUUCUCUUCGAACGAAGCGAAACAAUCACGCUCGAAUCGGAUAAGCUAAUGAAGUUUCGAUAUUCUUGUAAAGCGAGAAUACCGUUUCACUCGCCUCUUCGAAAAAUAGAGAAAAGAUCUUUCAAAGAGAUGUUCCUUCCACUAAAGAAAGCUGAACUCUAUCGCCAUUAAAAAAACGCGGCUUCUUUUCCCAACCGAGUCGAUAUUUUUCUUCAUUUUUUCCUUUUUCACUUUUUACCCUCUUUCUCUUCGCGUUCAUUCAAAUUAUAAAUACUCGGCGAAAAUCCGCUCGUUGGAAUAUCGAAAAUUCGUUAAUUAAACUGCAUGCCUAAAAGGCGAAUAGUUUGUUGACUGUUGAAUAUAAUACGAAGCGCGGGAAAAUUGAAAGGUAGGGCGAGUUUAACGUCAUGCGUGUUCGCUUUGAAAAUGUAAUUUUUUUUUCAGAAUAUAUAAAUAAAAAUUGUUCAAUAUGAAUUUUUUUCUUUUUUUUUUUUUUUUAAGGAAAGUUAAAAUUUACAUAUGCGAAUUUUUAGAGGAAAACUGACGACGUCGGAUAAAUGCGAUACACUCGAAGCCAUUACGAGAACCGGUAAAUCAAUUUGUUGCGCGAGCAUCGUGUCGAAACAUGGUAAAUGGUUUUCUGUAUAUUUUGUACAGGCUACUUAUUCGCGAAUCCUUGCGAUGAUUUAUGAAUGAAAGUUUACUUUGUAAGCUAAACGAUGUGUGAGCGAUUAUAUCCGAGCUAUAAUAAGGAAAUAAAACGAGCUAUUCCGUGCUACGAGAUGAAAUA
rnacentral:lncRNA from 1 species